CAUGUACUCCCUCCAUCUCAAAAUUAUUGUCUUAAAUUUAUCUAGAUACGAAUGUAUCUAGUCACAUUUUAGCAUUUAGAUGCAUUCAUUUGUAGACGAACCUAAGACAGUUUUUUUAGGACGGAGGGAGUAUGAA
rfam:Hordeum vulgare subsp. vulgare, WGS project CAJW01000000 data, contig: morex_contig_20344